rnacentral:rRNA from 1 species
GGCGGUAGGCUUAACACAUGCAAGUCGUGCGAGAAAGUACCUUCGGGUGCGAGUAGAGCGGCGGACGGGUGAGUAACGCGUAGGAAUCUACCUAGUAGAAGGGGAUAGCCCGGGGAAACUCGGAUUAAUACCGUAUACCUCCUUAGGGAGAAAGAGGGCUUAGCUUUGAUGCUCUCGCUAUUAGAUGAGCCUGCGUAAGAUUAGCUUGUUGGUGAGGUAAUGGCUCACCAAGGCGACGAUCUUUAGCUGGUCUGAGAGGACGAUCAGCCACAUUGGGACUGAGACACGGCCCAGACUCCUACGGGAGGCAGCAGUGGGGAAUAUUGGACAAUGGGCGCAAGCCUGAUCCAGCCAUACCGCGUGUGUGAAGAAGGCUUUCGGGUUGUAAAGCACUUUAAGUAAGGAGGAAAAGAUUGUAGUUAAUACCUGCAAUCCGUGACGUUACUUACAGAAUAAGGACCGGCUAAUUCCGUGCCAGCAGCCGCGGUAAUACGGAAGGUCCAAGCGUUAAUCGGAAUUACUGGGCGUAAAGCGCGCGUAGGUGGUUUUUUAAGUUGGAUGUGAAAGCCCUGGGCUCAACCUAGGAACUGCAUCCAAAACUAGAUGACUAGAGUACGAAAGAGGGAAGUAGAAUUCACAGUGUAGCGGUGGAAUGCGUAGAUAUUGUGAAGAAUACCAAUGGCGAAGGCAGCUUCCUGGUUCUGUACUGACACUAAGGUGCGAAAGCGUGGGUAGCGAACAGGAUUAGAUACCCUGGUAGUCCACGCCGUAAACGAUGACAACUAGCUGUUGGGAGACAAGAUCUCUCAGUGGCGCAGCUAACGCUUUAAGUUGUCCGCC